AGAGUUUGAUCAUGGCUCAGGAUGAACGCUGGCUGUGUGCCUAAUACAUGCAUGUUGAACGAAGCUAAAAGUGCUUGCACUUUAAGACUUAGUAGCGAAUGGGUGAGUAACACGUACUUAACCUACCCCCAAGUUUGGGAUAACGUUUGGAAACGAACGCUAAUACCGAAUACGUAUUUUUAUCGCAUGAUAGAAAUAUAAAAGGAGCUUCGGCUUCGCUAGGGGAUGGGAGUGCGCUACAUUAGUUAGUUGGUAGGGUAAUGGCCUAUCAAGACUAUGAUGUAUAGCGGGGCCGAGAGGCUGAUCCGCCACACUGGGACUGAGAUACGGCCCAGACUCCUACGGGAGGCAGCAGUAGGGAAUUUUCCACAAUGAACGAAAGUUUGAUGGGGCGACACAGCGUGCAGGAUGAAGGUCUUCGGAUCGUAAACUGCUGUUAUAAGGGAAGAAAAACUUUAUGGCUCAGCAGCCGCGGUAAU
rnacentral:rRNA from 1 species